UCAGAUUCAAUCUAUGUCAUUUACCAAAACACCAUGGCAGCGCUUGUUUAGGAGAAUACUUGGUUUCUGUUGUUAUCGCGUUUCAUUCAUCAAGUGACGAUCCUCUGACCAUUUCUUCAUGGUUUGUCUCUCAUCUCAAAUGAUGUAGAAUAAUAGAGUUCUGUGGCCUCAUCACGAAAGAUGCCAAUAACCUGUUGUUUAUAAGUGGAUUCAUAGCUAUCGCUGCAAGGUAGCUCAGUUGAAGCAUGCAAAAAUGUCACACAGGGAGAUUUUCUGCUUCUACUAUGGAAGAUAAUGAAAGUUCAAAUGUAUGCGCAGUGUUCUUUCACGUUUUUGUCAAUAGCUGUCAUAAGUUCGACUCAUUCACCAAGAUCACGAGGUUUAGCUAAAUGACUAAUUUCCUUUCUUCACUCGCUUCUGGUAUUUCAAUGUGCUGAUUCCUAUGAGUGCUAACCUUGCUUUGCAGGUUAGUGUGCCCCUUAUUGCAACAAGAAGGAAAAAUUCGGCAGGCAAUCAAAUGGUUCAAGGUGGAAGCUAAGUCAGGAGCUUGAAAGCUCUGAUACCAUGAAAGAAG
rnacentral:lncRNA from 1 species